UACGGGGGGGGCAAGCGUUGUUCGGAAUUACUGGGCGUAAAGGGCUCGUAGGUGGCCAACUAAGUCGGACGUGAAAUCCCUCGGCUUAACCGGGGAACUGCGUCUGAUACUGGAUGGCUUGAGUUUGGGAGAGGGAUGCGGAAUUCCAGGUGUAGCGGUGAAAUGCGUAGAUAUCUGGAGGAACACCGGUGGCGAAGGCGGCAUCCUGGACCGACACUGACGCUGAGGAGCGAAAGCCAGGGGAGCAAACGGG
rnacentral:rRNA from 1 species